rnacentral:miRNA from 1 species
UGGGUGACUGGAAAGGACAAGC